UUCUCUACACGAUAAUCCAAACAACCAUUUCUCUUCUCUUGCCCAAGUUGUUCUUGGAACCCUAAUUUUUUUUUAUUUUUUUCUAACGAAAGUCUGCUUUCUUGAUUCAAACAUGUCACAUUUCACACGCUGCUGUUUCUCUUCUUUUCCUUCAGACAUAAACAUACUUCUUUUCCGGCAAAGGAUGCGAUCGGUGGCCGUGAUAUCCGCCACUGCCACUGCAAAAGACAACGCAUCAGUGUUCUGAAGCUGUCCGGUUGACACUAUGUUUUUCAUUUUCUCUACGAGCAAGUAAGCAGUUUCUAGUGCUAAUUCUUGGGUUUGAUUGGGAGUUAUCUUCUAUGCAGUUCCACAUUCUUCUCUUUCACUGGACCAAUCAGUGCCUUUAAUAAUCCCGCUCCAAAAACAUGUUAGUUUAUAUCUAAUCUGGAAGGCUUGCAAGUUGCAUUGACAGAAAAAGAACAUGCACGUAUCGAAUGUUUGUUACAUAUAAGUUAUUAUUCGAUUGCAUCUUAUUUAGAAGCAUACUAUGCGUACUUGUAUCAUAAAUCUGCUGCUGUUAUUGCCUGUAUCUUAAAAUUUCGUUUUUAUUCAUAUUUGAAUAGAUCAUCUGUUUAACCUU